AAACUAGGAGACUUGAGUGUAGUAGGGGUAGAAGGGAAUUUCCAGUUGGAGCGGUGAAAUGCGUAGAUAUGGGAAAGAACACCGAUGGCGAAGGCACCCUACUAGGCUAUUAGUGACACUCAGAGACGAAAGCUAGGGGAGCAAAUGGGAUUAGAUACCCCAGUAGUCCUAGCCGUAAACGAUUGAUACUCGAUGUUGGAGAUAUCGACCCGUUCAGUAUCUAGCUAACGCGUUAAGUAUCCCGCCUGAAGAGUACGCUCGCAAGAGUGAAACUCAAAGGAAUUGACUGGGGCCCGCACAAGCGGUGGAGGAUGUGGCCUAAUUCGACGCAACCAGAAGAACCUUACCAGGGUUUGCUAGAAGUUUUGGUUUUCUGAAAACGAUUCACUAUUCCACUUCUACAGGUGGUGCAUGGCUGUCGUCAGGUCGUGUCUUGAGAUGUUGGGUUAACUCCCGCAACGAGCGCAACCCUCAUUUUUAGCUAUAUUGUUUAAAAAGACUGCCGGUGACAAACGGGGGGAAGGGGAGGGGGACGUCAAGUCAUCAUGCCCCUUACACCCUGGGCUACACACGUCCUACAAUGCGUAAGACAAUAAGUUGCAAAUUCGCGAGGAUAAGGUAAUCUUUGAAACUUACUCCAAGCACAGAUGGCAGGUUGCAACUUGCAUGCAUCAAGGUGGAAUCGGUAGUAAUCGGUGGUCAGGUACACAGCGGUGAAUCCGUUUCCGGGCUUUGUACACACCCCCCGUCACACCACGGAAACGGGUCGUACCCGAAGUCGUUAUCCUCACCCUGAGGAAGGAGAUGCCGAAGGUAAAAUUAGUGACCGAGGGAAGUCGUA
rnacentral:rRNA from 1 species